ACAAAAAUAAAAAGAGGGAUAAGAGAUUAAAUUAGGGUUCGGUAUGCGACCCUUCGUCUUUCUCCCCCAAAUCAGACUCUCCUCUUCCUCUGCUACAACGGCGACGGCGCACCUCCGAUGAAGAUCCUCGGCGCGCCACCGUGAACUCACCCAAGGUCUCGUCUCUCAUCUCAAAUUUCAAUCCACCCUCUUCUGAUUUUAACCCUAACUAGUUAACUCUUUACCACAGAGAAACCCUAAGCAUCGAUACUCCCGGACUCAAGCAUGAUUUUUUUUACGAAAUUGAAGCAAGCAAGACCUUAUCUUAAUCACAGAAGCACGGAUACAAAUCAAAAGCGCGUAAAAGAACCUGUUUAUGGUGGCCCGAGCUUCCGGUGAGUCGCUAUGGCUCAAAGACGAUGAUGUGCUCAAGACUGCUUUAGAAGAGUACUCCAAUUACCCGGUAUUCCUCUCGUUUCUUUGCCUUCUCCGAUACACAUUCUUUAUCUACUUCCUCUUUCUGAACCUUUAUGUAUCGUCGUUGCUGUUAACGCGAGAUGAAGCUGAAGAUGUUAUUGAUGAUGAUCGUUGCUGUCUUGAGAAGACGAUGAUGCUGCAGUUGAUAGAUGGAUCGAACUGUGAUUGAAGAUUGUGUGAUAUCGUUGAGCGAAAUUGUUGAAGAAGUGAAGGAUGAAGAUCAGAAGGCAGGGAAACUGUUGGAGGUAAAGAAUUCUUUGUUUCAGAGAGAGUGAUGAGACUGAAGAAUGAAGAAGGUGAAGAUGAUGAAUGGUUUAGAAAAAUGGUGAUGGUGAAUAAGAAAAUGAAUGUGAAGGUUAUGGAAGUGAAGGGAGAGUUUGAAGAUUGAGAAUGAAGGGUGAAGAUUAUGAAUUGUGGAGGAGAGGAAGCAAUGGUGAAACACCAGUUAUAUAGAGUUGAUCCUAAAGGUCCAGCUGCUGGUUUUACUUGAAGGUAUUGGGCACUGUUUUGAAAUGUAUGGAUGGACUGUUUGAUUGUGAAAUUGGUUUUGAUCCUGGACUGCAUAAGUUGAUUGGAUUGUGUGUGGUAUUGUAUGAAUGCAGGGCAUGGUUUUUUUUUGUGUGUGUGGAGGUUUGAAGCAAGAAGUUGUGACAUCUGAAACAAAGAAGUGGCAUGACACGGUGACGAGACUAUACAAGAAUAAGAAGUGGAAAUGGCUUGAAGAUAAAGAAAUGAAGAGAAAUGGUUUAGGAUAGGAAUAUUGACUUGUGAAAGAAUGGUGUUAUAACAUAAUUGUAAUGGUUCUUUUUCUUUUGUAUUUAUUUGAUGGAGUGUAAUGAUGUAGUAACCUAGACUUGAUUUUUGUGUGUAAAUGCGGAUGGAGUUCGAAUGGUAUAACGGUAAUUGGAAUUGAAUGGAUGUAUAGAUCGAAUGAACUAGGAUUUGGUUAAGGGAUUUGGAAUGAGUGUAUAGACACUUGAAUUUUGUAUUGACAUUUGAAGGUGUACACUUUGUUCACAAUUUAGAAUUAUAAUGAAAUGCUCCUCUUUUGUAA